AGGGAUUCAUGGCCGGCGCCGGAGGAGAUCGCUGCCGCCGCCGCCGCCGCCGCCGCGUCGACACCGCCGGCGCUUCUCCUUCCGCAUCCCUCUAGGUACAUGCGCUCCCCGGGACUAUCCGCCCACCUUCUCUCCCUUCCCCCCUAUGAGUACCCUAAGCCUAGGGGGACUGGACAAUCUGACGCAAGAACCCUAGAACUUGGAAGAGAAGCACGGGACCGAACCAACCAAUUGAGCGUAUGCCAGUGUUACACUUUUCAGUGUGAUGGAAGUCAUAGCUGCAUCCUGAUGGGGAGGAGGUUGGAAGCAUUUCUUUUGAUAUACCGCCGGCAUCAGCGUAGUCUGCACAAACCCAAUAUUAUCAAUAUCUUGCUGGCUCAGUGUAUCACUAGUGUUUCCGGAGCAAAGUGUGCUGCCAGAUCUAAACGCAGCUGUUACCAACGACUGUCACGUCACACCUCUCUCAAGAUUAGAUGGGACCUAACAGUCAAAUAAACAAUUCCGUUUUUUGUUUUAUCUCUAGAAAUUUCAUUGCCUUAUUGGAGACGCAUCUGUCAUCUGGGUUGAUUUUAUUUUAUUUUAUAAGCAUUUGCUGCAGAUAAUUCGGUGGAGUGGAGCUUGUUUCGUUUCCAAGUUCGUUCUAAGCAGAAACCAUGGGAGCAGAGCAGAUUGGCAAAUCGCCAACUGUGAGUUUCUGUUCCCCGAAUAACUCGCGUCUUCUCAUUUGUUGCCAAGCAAGGUGCAAUUUUCUGCUGCUUCAGAAUGUUAAAAUGUAUGUUCGCUUAACUGCUGUAGGAUGUAGAAUCGCAGUGCUACCAUGAAAGAUGUAACCAACACUUAGUUUUGAGAUGAUAUAGGACCCCUUCUUUUCUUUGAAAAAACCCACAUGGAAAGGUGCCUGCUUUUUUGGUUUA